AGAGAGGAGAUACGAAACGAAACAGCCUGGAGAAGAUGGACCCUAUCCCUCUGCCGUACAUCACGGGGGCUCCGUAAAACCCCGGAAGGGAUCCGCCCACCUGCCCUUCAUAAUAGGGCUUUGGAGUUGACGUCACGCCGCGGAGCGCGGCGCCAUUUUCGGGGUCUACGAAUCAAAAGAGACACAGUGUUGGAACGACAACGACAAGAAUCACGCUUAAAAGCAGCUCCAAAGAAAACGGACGGUAUAGAGACCGAUUGCGUCCAGAGGCGAAGCAGCGGUACUUGCAGAAAAUUGCGUGCAUUGGAAAUGUGGACCCGUAUGAAACACUGCCGUGGAGUAGAAACCCUGAAGAGCAACCGCUAUAGCCUGCAGCGUUCUAUAGAUGGACACAUAAGGAAAUGAAAAAUUACAUGUGCUGCACUCUCAAAGACUGAAUGAACAGCAUUGCAGCCAUGGGUCACUGUGAGCAUCACAGGGAAGGUUG
rnacentral:lncRNA from 1 species